UGAGUAAGUCAGAUAAUCGCUGCUAAACUUAAGUUUAGGAGAGGAAAGUCCGAGCAUUAUAGAGCAUGGUGCUGGGUAACUCCCAGUGAGGGUGACCUUAAGGAUAGUGCAACAGAGAGAUACCGCCUUCAUAUAGAAGGUAAGGGUGGAAAGGUGAGGUAAGAGCUCACCAGCAUACUGGUGACUUUAUGGCUAUGUAAACCCCAUUCAAUGCAAGGCCCAAUAGAGGGAUAUGAUGGAGCUGCUCGUUUCGUCCCUGGGUGAGCCGCUGGAACUAUAUAGAAAUAUAUAGUCUAGAUAGAUGAUUAUCCAAUACAGAACUCGGCUUAUAGACUUAGUCGCAUA
rnacentral:RNase_P_RNA from 1 species